rnacentral:lncRNA from 1 species
ACCCUGCCCCCCAGCUCCACGUAGGGGACCUGGAGUGCACAGAGAAUCCGCAGUAGAGAGCAGGAAGUCAGAGAUAGGGCUGCUGCUGCACUGGCCUCGUCCCUGGAUCCCUCGCCGCAGAUCUGUCCUACACAGGGUUCCAGAGGAGUCAUCCUAACACCAUCUGACCCUGUCCCUCUCAUGCUCAAAACAUAUUUGUAGCCUUCAUCACCUUCAUGACAUGGAUACUGCUGAGUUCUCCAGACACUUCACUCCAGAGUGCAGCUAUUGUGAGAAAUGACUCUUUGUUCCCCAAAUAAGCCUCAGAAUCUGGAUAUGGGGCCUGAAUCUGGAUAUGGGGCCUCAACACAUGCUCCAACUUGGACUAGAAUGUCCUUCUCUCUGGUCUCAGUUAACUCUGUCCCUCAGGUCUCAGUGCAGAAGUCACCUCCACCACGAAGCCUCCUCUGUCUGACCCUCUGUUUUAAACUUUUUCCUACUGUAAAUAUGUCCCAUUUUCUGAAAAAAAUCAGCAUAUUUUAAAGUAUUCUGGCAC